CCUACGGGAGGCAGCAGUGGGGAAUAUUGCGCAAUGGGGGAAACCCUGACGCAGCAACGCCGCGUGAGUGAGGAAGGACUUCGGUCUGUAAAGCUCUGUUAAUGAGGAAAAAUGGUAGUUGGUCCAAUAGGCCGAUUAUUUGAUGGUACUCAUAGAGGAAGCACCGGCUAACUUCGUGCCAGCAGCCGCGGUAAUACGAAGGGUGCAGGCGUUGUUCGGAUUUAUUGGGCGUAAAGCGCGCGUAGGCGGACCUGCAAGUCAGAUGUGAAAUCUCGAGGCUCAACCUCGAAACUGCGUCUGAAACUACAGGUCUAGAAUCUCGGAGGGGGAAGGGAAUUUCGCAUGUAGGGGUAAAAUCCGUAGAUAUGCGAAGGAACACCAGAGGCGAAGGCGCCUUCCUGGACGAGUAUUGACGCUGAGGCGCGAAAGCGUGGGGAUCAAACAGGAUUAGAUACCCUGGUAGUCCACGCUGUAAACGAUGAACACUAGGUAUUGGAGGAUUUGACCCCUUCAGUGCCGUAGCUAACGCGUUAAGUGUUCCGCCUGGGAAGUACGGUCGCAAGACUAAAACUCAAAUGAAAUUGACGG
rnacentral:rRNA from 1 species